rnacentral:rRNA from 1 species
AGGACGAACGCUGGCGGCGUGCCUAACACAUGCAAGUGGAGCGACGAACCAGGCUUCGGCCUGGGGCUAAGCCGCGAACGGGUGAGUAACACGUGGGUAACCUGCCCCGAUGAUUGGGACAACCCGAGGAAACUCGGGCUAAUACCGAAUGUGCCCUCCGGCCAUAAGGCCGCUGGGGAAAGGAAGCUUCGGCCUCCGCAUCGGGAUGGGCCCGCGGCCCAUUAGCUUGUUGGUGAGGUAACGGCUCACCAAGGCUGCGAUGGGUAGCUGGUCUGAGAGGACGAUCAGCCACACUGGGACUGAGACACGGCCCAGACUCCUACGGGAGGCAGCAGUGGGGGAAUCUUGCGCAAUGCGCGAAAGCGUGACGCAGCAACGCCGCGUGGGGAAGAAGGCCUUCGGGUUGUAACCGCUUUCGAGGAGGGACGAAGCUACCUGGGUUAAUAGCCCGUGGGGUGACGGUACCUUCAGAAGAAGCCCGGCUAACUACGCGCCAGCAGCCGCGGU